rnacentral:rRNA from 1 species
GAGGAAUAUUGCGCAAUGGCCGAAAGGCUGACGCAGCGACGCCGCGUGAAGGAUGAAGUCCGUUAGGACGUAAACUUCUUUUGCAGGGGAUGAACAGUCCGUUUUACGGAUUUGACCGUACCCUGCGAAUAAGGAUCGGCUAACUACGUGCCAGCAGCCGCGGUAAUACGUAGGAUCCGAGCGUUGUCCGGAUUUACUGGGUGUAAAGGGCGUGUAGGUGGAUUGGCAAGUCGGUGGUGAAAGCCUGCGGCUCAACCGCAGAAUUGCCCUCGAUACUACCAAUCUUGAGUACGGCAGAGGGAGAUGGAAUUCAUGGUGUAGCGGUGAAAUGUGUAGAUAUCAUGAAGAACACCGGUAGCGAAGGCGGUCUCCUGGUCCGUUACUGACACUGAGGCGCGAAAGCGUGGGGAGCAAAC